UAGGGAAUCUUCGGCAAUGGACGAAAGUCUGACCGAGCAACGCCGCGUGAGUGAAGAAGGUUUUCGGAUCGUAAAACUCUGUUGUUAGAGAAGAACAAGGACGUUAGUAACUGAACGUCCCCUGACGGUAUCUAACCAGAAAGCCACGGCUAACUACGUGCCAGCAGCCGCGGUAAUACGUAGGUGGCAAGCGUUGUCCGGAUUUAUUGGGCGUAAAGCGAGCGCAGGCGGUUUCUUAAGUCUGAUGUGAAAGCCCCCGGCUCAACCGGGGAGGGUCAUUGGAAACUGGGAGACUUGAGUGCAGAAGAGGAGAAUGGAAUUCCAUGUGUAGCGGUGAAAUGCGUAGAUAUAUGGAGGAACACCAGUGGCGAAGGCGGCUCUCUGGUCUGUAACUGACGCUGAGGCUCGAAAGCGUGGGGAGCAAACAGG
rnacentral:rRNA from 1 species